rnacentral:misc_RNA from 1 species
AAUUCAGCACCUUGGUGCUAAACUUUGGCUGCAUCAUGUAGGUAACCUAACAAAGCAUUUAAGCCAGAUUCGCAACACUCGGCAUUUUCAAUUCAAGUUGAGUUUUGUGUUUACGGUGUAAUGGUUUAGUCAGGUGGUAGCGUUGCUCACUACUUAAUGCGGCGUUAGCAAACAAAGUGU